CAGUCGCCGCGGUAAUACAGAGGGUGCAAGCGUUAAUCGGAAUUACUGGGCGUAAAGCGCGCGUAGGUGGUUCGCCAAGUUGGAUGUGAAAUCCCCGGGCUCAACCUGGGAACUGCAUCCAAAACUGGCGAGCUAGAGUAUGGUAGAGGGUGGUGGAAUUUCCUGUGUAGCGGUGAAAUGCGUAGAUAUAGGAAGGAACAUCAGUGGCGAAGGCGACCACCUGGACUGAUACUGACACUGAGGUGCGAAAGCGUGGGGAGCAAACAGGAUUAGAUACCCGCGUAGUCCCUGUCUCUUAUAC
rnacentral:rRNA from 1 species